rnacentral:rRNA from 1 species
UACGUAGGGUGCAAGCGUUAAUCGGAAUUACUGGGCGUAAAGCGUGCGCAGGCGGUUUUGUAAGUUUGUCGUGAAAGCCCCGGGCUCAACCUGGGAAUUGCGAUGAAGACUGCAAGGCUAGAAUCUGGCAGAGGGGGGUAGAAUUCCACGUGUAGCAGUGAAAUGCGUAGAGAUGUGGAGGAACACCGAUGGCGAAGGCAGCCCCCUGGGUCAAGAUUGACGCUCAAUGCGACGAAAGCGUGGGGAGCAAACAGGAUUAGAGUACCCGAG